AUUGAACGCUGGCGGCAGGCCUAACACAUGCAAGUCGAGCGGUAACAGGGGAAGCUUGCUUCCCGCUGACGAGCGGCGGACGGGUGAGUAAUGUAUGGGGAUCUGCCCGAUAGAGGGGGAUAACCACUGGAAACGGUGGCUAAUACCGCAUAAUCUCUUAGGAGCAAAGCAGGGGAACUUCGGUCCUUGCGCUAUCGGAUGAGCCCAUACGGGAUUAGCUAGUAGGUGGGGUAAUGGGCUCACCUAGGCGACGAUCCCUAGCUGGGUCUGAGAGGGAUGAUCGGGCCACACUGGGGACUGAGACACGGGCCCAGACUCCUACGGGGAGGCAGCAGUGGGGGGAAUAUUGCACAAUGGGCGCAAGCCUGAUGCAGCCCAUGCCGCGUGUAUGAAGAAGGCCUUAGGGUUGUAAAGUCUUUCAGUCGGGAGGAAGGCGUUUGAUGCUAUAUCAUUCAA
rnacentral:rRNA from 1 species